GCCGUCACCGCCGCCGCGGAGGCUCGUUCCUCACGUGACCACGUACGCGCCAUGACGUAAAGCAUGUGACAAACCCCACGUGACCUUGACGCACGUGAUCGUCUUCGCGCUCUCCACAGCUCCCUCCUCCUCUCCGUUUACGCACUUGCCGAGCGUUAUAAAAACGAGCGAACCUCCACAGCUCGGUCGAAUCACGCUUCUCUGCGUGCAAGUGUCUCAUCCUCCGAUCGAGAUCGCUCUUCUCUUGGGACUUUCGGACCCCGCCCCAUCAACAGCGAACAUGUCCAGCUCCGGAGACGUCUGCUGCGAAGGCAAGCCCGAGUGCUGCAACGAGACCAGCGAGGUGAAGAACGACGCCGAGGCCAAGGCUGAGACAGCCGCCACCGAGGUGCCCGAGGCGGCGCCGGCUCCGGCCGGCGGCGAGAGCGCCGCACCGGCCGAUGCUGCGCCGCAGGACGGCGCCAGCUCGUAGCCGCCGGGGAACAACCACCGGCUGCGCUGCCUGCCUCUGCCGCCGCCGCUUCUUCGCAGUUCUCGUCGCAGCUGCCCGCCGACGACAACCGCCUCGUCGACGACCGAUCACCGAGACCGCCGCAGGUUCCGUCGUCUGGUCUGUUCCGGUCAUCUGAAGCUCUCCGCCUCGCCGUACCAGAAGUACUGGACCCGACUCUGGCAGGUCGACCGAGAUUCUUCACCAUCGCCCCCCACCCCUAAUCAAGGAAGAUGCGAGACGGAAGCCCGGGAGGCUGCGAUUCUGCCUGCGAAGGCGCCAUCCUCCUGCUUCCCUCACGUCUUCCAGUGAAUCGAGCCACGAACCGAAAUGAGCGAGUCCUCACACCAUGAUCAAUUCGCCCGUAUGGAACGUUUUUCCUUUGCAUGCCGAAAUCGACACUCUAGAGGACAGCGAGUGGUCAGCGACCAACUUGCAUUGGCCGCAGUCGACCAAGACCAUCCAUGGAUUCGCCUGGCCACUUGUCGUCGUGGUUUUACUCCAGUUGUCACCGGAAAGGUUGGCUCGGUAGGAGAAGAGGCGGACAACCACCAAACUAAAAGCAGCAGGCGGGAGCUGCGGAGCGGCGCAAACGCGAGUCAGAGUUGGAAGAUUCCUAAGAGAUAAAAAAAAAGUGAAACGAAAACGCGCGGAGCGCCGACUUAUCCUAUAUGCUAUAUAUUUAUGUAAUGAAAGCACUCAGCUCGUGUAUACACCUGCUGGCAACAAAAAACGACAAAAAAAUUAUAAAAAGUGAGAGAAAAGAGAAGAUAGAAGCGGUGCGCCCUCUUCUUUUUUGUACAUUUCUGAGAAUAAAAGAAUAAUAAACUACAAAAUAUUUGCCAA